rnacentral:rRNA from 1 species
AAAUCUGGUAGUCCCUGUGGCUGCCCGAGUUGUAAUCUAGAGAAGCGUUAUCCGCGCUGGACCGUGUACAAGUCUCCUGGAACGGAGCGUCAUAGAGGGUGAGAAUCCCGUCUUUGACACGGACUACCAGGGCUUUGUGAUGCGCUCUCAAAGAGUCGAGUUGUUUGGGAAUGCAGCUCUAAAUGGGUGGUAAAUUCCAUCUAAAGCUAAAUAUUGGCGAGAGACCGAUAGCGAACAAGUACCGUGAGGGAAAGAUGAAAAGAACUUUGGAAAGAGAGUUAAACAGUACGUGAAAUUGUUGAAAGGGAAACGCUUGAAGUCAGUCGCGUUGGCCAGGGAUCAACCUUGUCAUUGGCAGGGCGUACUUUCUGGUUGACGGGUCAGCAUCAAUUUUGACCGGUGGACAAAGGUUGAGGGAAUGUGGCAUCCUCGGAUGUGUUAUAGCCCUUGAUUGUAUACAUCGGUUGGGAUUGAGGAACUCAGCACGCCGCAAGGCCGGGUAUUCGUACCACGUACGUGCUUAGGAUGUUGGCAAAAUGGCUUUAAUCGACCCGUCUUGAAACACGGACCAAGGAGUCUAACAUGCCUGCGAGUGUUUGGGUGGAAAACCCGAGCGCGCAAUGAAAGUGAAAGUUGAGAUCCCUGUCGCGGGGAGCAUCGACGCCCGGACCAGACCUUUUGUGACGGUCCCGCGGUAGAGCAUGUAUGUUGGGACCCGAAAGAUGGUGAACUAUGCCUGAAUAGGGUGAAGCCAGAGGAAACUCUGGUGGAGGC